rnacentral:rRNA from 1 species
UACAGAGGUGGCAAGCGUUGUUCGGAAUUACUGGGCGUAAAGGGCGCGUAGGCGGUACUUCAAGUCAGGCGUGAAAUCCCCGGGCUCAACCUGGGAACUGCAUUUGUGACUGCAUCGCUAGAGUACGGCAGAGGGGGAUGGAAUUCCGCGUGUAGCAGUGAAAUGCGUAGAUAUGCGGAGGAACACCGAUGGCGAAGGCAAUCCCCUGGGCCGUACUGACGCUCAUGCACGAAAGCGUGGGGAGCAAACAGG